UCCCUCAUCUCUGUACCCCCACACAUACAAUUAUCUGUAAGGUCCCUCAUCUCUGUACCCCAACACAUACAAUUAUCUGUAAGGUCCCUCAUCUCUGUACCCCACACAUACAAUUAUCUGUAAGGUCCCUCAUCUCUGUACCCCACACAUACAAUUAUCUGUAAGGUCCCUCAUCUCUGUACCCCAACACAUACAAUUAUCUGUAAGGUCCCUCAUCUCUGUACCCCACACAUACAAUUAUCUGUAAGGUCCCUCAUCUCUGUACCCCACACAUACAAUUAUCUGUAAGGUCCCUCAUCUCUGUACCCCACACAUACAAUUAUCUGUAAGGUCCCUCAUCUCUGUACCCCACACAUACAAUUAUCUGUAAUGUCCCUCAUCUCUGUACCCCACACAUACAAUUAUCUGUAAGGUCCCUCAUCUCUGUACCCCACACAUACAAUUAUCUGUAAUGUCCCUCAUCUCUGUACCCCACACAUACAAUUAUCUGUAAGGUCCCUCAUCUCUGUACCCCACACAUACAAUUAUCUGUAAUGUCCCUCAUCUCUGUACCCCACACAUACAAUUAUCUGUAAGGUCCCUCAUCUCUGUACCCCACACAUACAAUUAUCUGCAAGGUCCCUCAUCUCUGUACCCCACACAUACAAUUAUCUGCAAGGUCCCUCAUCUCUGUACCCCACACAUACAAUUAUCUGUAAGGUCCCUCAUCUCUGUACCCCACACAUACAAUUAUCUGUAAGGUCCCUCAUCUCUGUACCCCACACAUACAAUUAUCUGUAAUGUCCCUCAUCUCUGUACCCCACACAUACAAUUAUCUGUAAGGUCCCUCAUCUCUGUACCCCACACAUACAAUUAUCUGUAAGGUCCCUCAUCUCUGUACCCCACACAUACAAUUAUCUGUAAGGUCCCUCAUCUCUGUACCCCACACAUACAAUUAUCUGUAAGGUCCCUCAUCUCUGUACCCCCACACAUACAAUUAUCUGCAAGGUCCCUCAUCUCUGUACCCCACACAUACAAUUAUCUGUAAGGUCCCUCAUCUCUG